rnacentral:rRNA from 1 species
CGUACCUUUUGUAUAAUGGGUCAGCGACUUAUAUUCUGUAGCAAGGUUAACCGUAUAGGGGAGCCGCAGGGAAACCGAGUCUUAACUGGGCGUUAAGUUGCAGGGUAUAGACCCGAAACCCGGUGAUCUAGCCAUGGGCAGGUUGAAGGUUGGGUAACACUAACUGGAGGACCGAACCGACUAAUGUUGAAAAAUUAGCGGAUGACUUGUGGCUGGGGGUGAAAGGCCAAUCAAACCGGGAGAUAGCUGGUUCUCCCCGAAAGCUAUUUAGGUAGCGCCUCGUGAAUUCAUCUUCGGGGGUAGAGCACUGUUUCGGCUAGGGGGUCAUCCCGACUUACCAACCCGAUGCAAACUACGAAUACCGAAGAAUGUUAUCACGGGAGACACACGGCGGGUGCUAACGUCCGUCGUGAAGAGGGAAACAACCCAGACCGCCAGCUAAGGUCCCAAAGUCACAGUUAAGUGGGAAACGAUGUGGGAAGGCACAGACAGCCAGGAUGUUGGCUUAGAAGCAGCCAUCAUUUAAAGAAAGCGUAAUAGCUCACUGGUCGAGUCGGCCUGCGCGGAAGAUGUAACGGGGCUAAACUGUGCACCGAAGCUGCGGCAGCGACACUAUGUGUUGUUGGGUAGGGGAGCGUUCUGUAAGCCUGCGAAGGUGGCCUGUGAGGGUUGCUGGAGGUAUCAGAAGUGCGAAUGCUGACAUAAGUAACGAUAAUGCGGGUGAAAAGCCCGCACGCCGGAAGACCAAGGGUUCCUGUCCAACGUUAAUCGGGGCAGGGUGAGUCGACCCCUAAGGCGAGGCCGAAAGGCGUAGUCGAUGGGAAACAGGUUAAUAUUCCUGUACUUGGUGUUACUGCGAAGGGGGGACGGAGAAGGCUAUGUUAGCCGGGCGACGGUUGUCCCGGUUUAAGCAUGUAGGCGGAGGUUCCAGGUAAAUCCGGUACCUUUUUAACGCUGAGGUGUGAUGACGAGGCACUACGGUGCUGAAGUAACAAAUGCCCUGCUUCCAGGAAAAGCCUCUAAGCAUCAGGUAACAUUAAAUCGUACCCCAAACCGACACAGGUGGUCAGGUAGAGAAUACCAAGGCGCUUGAGAGAACUCGGGUGAAGGAACUAGGCAAAAUGGUGCCGUAACUUCGGGAGAAGGCACGCUGAUAUGUAGGUGAAGCCCCUGCGGGUGGAGCUGAAAUCAGUCGAAGAUACCAGCUGGCUGCAACUGUUUAUUAAAAACACAGCACUGUGCAAACACGAAAGUGGACGUAUACGGUGUGACGCCUGCCCGGUGCCGGAAGGUUAAUUGAUGGGGUUAUCCGUAAGGAGAAGCUCUUGAUCGAAGCCCCGGUAAACGGCGGCCGUAACUAUAACGGUCCUAAGGUAGCGAAAUUCCUUGUCGGGUAAGUUCCGACCUGCACGAAUGGCGUAAUGAUGGCCAGGCUGUCUCCACCCGAGACUCAGUGAAAUUGAACUCGCUGUGAAGAUGCAGUGUACCCGCGGCAAGACGGAAAGACCCCGUGAACCUUUACUAUAGCUUGACACUGAACAUUGAGCCUUGAUGUGUAGGAUAGGUGGGAGGCUUUGAAGCGUGGACGCCAGUCUGCGUGGAGCCAACCUUGAAAUACCACCCUUUAAUGUUUGAUGUUCUAACGUUGGCCCCUUAUCGGGGUUGCGGACAGUGUCUGGUGGGUAGUUUGACUGGGGCGGUCUCCUCCCAAAGAGUAACGGAGGAGCACGAAGGUUAGCUAAUCCUGGUCGGACAUCAGGAGGUUAGUGCAAUGGCAUAAGCUAGCUUGACUGCGAGCGUGACGGCGCGAGCAGGUGCGAAAGCAGGUCAUAGUGAUCCGGUGGUUCUGAAUGGAAGGGCCAUCGCUCAACGGAUAAAAGGUACUCCGGGGAUAACAGGCUGAUACCGCCCAAGAGUUCAUAUCGACGGCGGUGUUUGGCACCUCGAUGUCGGCUCAUCACAUCCUGGGGCUGAAGUAGGUCCCAAGGGUAUGGCUGUUCGCCAUUUAAAGUGGUACGCGAGCUGGGUUUAGAACGUCGUGAGACAGUUCGGUCCCUAUCUGCCGUGGGCGCUGGAGAAUUGAGGGGGGCUGCUCCUAGUACGAGAGGACCGGAGUGGACGCAUCACUGGUGUUCGGGUUGUCAUGCCAAUGGCAUUGCCCGGUAGCUAAAUGCGGAAGAGAUAAGUGCUGAAAGCAUCUAAGCACGAAACUUGC